GAGGAAAUGUGUCAGAGGGGUUAAUCCUGCACGUAUUCAGCGGCAGCUCUGAGGGGAGAAAACUACGCCAGGGCCCCCGUGUGACCACGCAGCACAGAGCGCCGUCACUGAUCGCACGUGAGUUCAGUCCAGAGAGAGAACGGCUGCUGUCGAUCCAGGAGGGACAGACAGGGUCACUCUGCAUCCAUCAUGCUCAUCCAAAGCUCUCCGGUCUUAAAGUCAGAGGUCUCAAACCUCUGGACUGCAGAACCUCUUCAGUAUUCCAGCCCUGAUCCCCGAGCAGAGGAUGAGAAGGAAGACUGCAGAAAAAACAAAGGGAGUGAAAUGAAAGCCAUACAUAUGUUCAUAUCGCAGCAGUAAUAAAGA